UUUUUUUCUAAAACUGAAAAUACAAUUAUACAGUAUUUUUUUUGCUUGAUUGUCCUAGUAUUUUUGCCUUUUUUGCCGAGCAGUUUGUCUGAAAUGAACUACAUAUAUUAGUCAGACCUCUGACUUUCUAUAUUAUGUAAUAGCAACAUACAUUGUUGGUGUUUUUAUAUACAUUCUGACAUGCAGUAAUUUGAGACCCCC
rnacentral:lncRNA from 1 species